rnacentral:rRNA from 1 species
GUAGGGGAGACUGGAAUUCCUGGUGUAGCGGUGGAAUGCGCAGAUAUCAGGAGGAACACCGAUGGCGAAGGCAGGUCUCUGGGCAGUAACUGACGCUGAGGAGCGAAAGCAUGGGGAGCGAACAGGAUUAGAUACCCUGGUAGUCCAUGCCGUAAACGGUGGGCGCUAGGUGUGAGUCCCUUCCACGGGGUUCGUGCCGUAGCUAACGCAUUAAGCGCCCCGCCUGGGGAGUACGGCCGCAAGGCUAAAACUCAAAGGAAUUGACGGGGGCCCGCACAAGCGGCGGAGCAUGUGGAUUAAUUCGAUGCAACGCGAAGAACCUUACCAAGGCUUGACAUACACCGGACCGGGCCAGAGAUGGUCUUUCCCUUUGUGGCUGGUGUACAGGUGGUGCAUGGUUGUCGUCAGCUCGUGUCGUGAGGUGUUGGGUUAAGUCCCGCAACGAGCGCAACCCUUGUCUUAUGUUGCCAGCAUUUGGUUGGGGACUCAUGAGAGACUGCCGGGGUCAACUCGGAGGAAGGUGGGGAUGACGUCAAAUCAUCAUGCCCCUUAUGUCCAGGGCUUCACACAUGCUACAAUGGUCGGUACAACGCGCAGCGACACUGUGAGGUGGAGCGAAUCGCUGAAAGCCGGCCUUAGUUCGGAUUGGGGUCUGCAACUCGACCCCAUGAAGUCGGAGUCGCUAGUAAUCGCAGAUCAGCAAUGCUGCGGU